UGCCGACUCUGACAGUACCCACCUUAAAAGUCACGGCUAACUCUGUGCCAGCAUCCGCGGUGAUACCGGGGUGGCAAACGUUGUCCGGAUUUACUGGGUGUAAAGGGUGCGCAAGCGGACUGAUAAGCUUGGGGUUAAAUCCCGAUGCUCAACACAUGCACGGCUUCCGAUACUGUCAGUCUUGAGUCUCGAAGAGGAAGAUGGAAUUUCCGGUGUAACGGUGGAAUGUGUAGAUAUCGGAAAGAACACCAGUGGCGAAGGCAGUCUUCUGGUCGAGUACUGACGCUCAGGCACGAAAGCG
rnacentral:rRNA from 1 species